AAGUCGUAACAAGGUUUCCGUAGGUGAACCUGCGGAAGGAUCAUCAUGGUGAUAUUACAGCCAUUUCUUGGUUGGGCUUUUUGGACCGGUGUGGCUCGCCACAUGGGUCGGCCCACCCAUUUGAUUCCCAGCAAACAGACAGCAACGCAUGGUUGGCUGAGAGAAAAGAGUGGACGUAAGAGGGAGCAGACACAACUUUCAACAACGGAUCACUUGGCUCUCACAUCGA
rnacentral:misc_RNA from 1 species